UAUUAACAUAGAACUAUUCGAUUCUUUCAACUAUGUGCAUGUUUAUUUUCAAUAUAAAUUAAAAUCAGUAAUUUGUCUUUUUUCUUCUGCUGCCUGAGAAAGGGAGGAGGGAGGAUACAGAAUGUAGAUCCUUCCUAGCUGAUAAGAAGCUGGGAAGGUAAAGCGAAACUCUUUUGUUCCUUGGGUCCGUCAAUCCAGCAGGGCCAUUCUCUUUCCAUCUCCCUUUGAGGCAGGAAGAAAAAUUCUGAGCAACUGGGAAAUUAAGACUUAAAAUAUUGAAAAGAGCUGUUGGUGCCAAACUGACCUAAAAUCUGGGGCUGCCCUAGGAGGGUUCUGACCCAAGGAAGCGAUCCAAGGUCCGUGGCCCCAUCAAGACACCAGAGUCGACCACUUUCUGAUCGCAGGCAAGACAGCCGCGGGAAUGUGGCCUCUGAAAACUGACUGAGGCCUCCUUUCUCUUCCUGUCUCAGAGGACGGAAGGUGCGCGAGGAUGGGAGCACGUCAGCUCUGUUUCCCACUGUGUCCUUAGCGGCAAGGCAGCCCCGGGGACAGCAGAUGGGGAGUGUCUGUGGUGAGCGGGAGUGAAGUGCUUUCGUCAUGCCCGGUACCACAGCAAGCCCUUCACACGUAACACCUCGCUUUUAUUCUCACGGGCAACCCUAUGGGUAGGUACUCUAACUGGGUCCAUCUUGGGCCAAGGAAACUGCAACUUAGAGAGACCGAGUAAUAAUGCCCGAGAUCUUACAGAAACAAGGGCAGUCAGAGCUGGAAUUUGAAAAUAUGUUUCGCCGAGUCUGUGUGGGACUUCCUGAGGACCACAGUGCGGUGCUUCCUGGCUGACAGAUCGUCUACACUCACCUUCCCGGACUUCCCGCACACCGUUCCCUCUUGUCUGCGUCUCUGCGGCUUUCCCAGAUUAAAAACCAAAGGCUGAAGCGCUGACCUAAGUUGCCUGAGGGCCCACGAUUGACCAGUGCCAUACCUGGACGAAAGUCCCUGGCUUCCUGACUUCUCACCUAGCUGUCUUUCGAUUGUUUUCAUAGUGGGAGUUGAGCAAAGAUAAUUGAAAACACAUUUAUCUCUGGUUUCCUAAAGCUGGAGGGGGAUGAAAUUUUUAAAAAGAAGGCGGGGUGAGAGAUGUAAAAAGCCGAUUUACUUCGCUGAGCUUACAUUGCUUGAGCACACACCCCACGUGGUGAAGGGAAGUGGCAGAGCAUAGCCAACGUGGGGUUAAAGAUUGUGUUACAUUAAUCCACAAAGUAAA